UACGAAGGGGCUAGCGUUGCUCGGAAUCACUGGGCGUAAAGCGCACGUAGGCGGACUCUUAAGUCGGUGGUGAAAUCCUGGAGCUCAACUCCAGAACUGCCUUCGAUACUGAGAGUCUCGAGUCCGAGAGAGGUGAGUGGAACUGCGAGUGUAGAGGUGAAAUUCGUAGAUAUUCGCAAGAACACCAGUGGCGAAGGCGGCUCACUGGCUCGGUACUGACGCUGAGGUGCGAAAAGCGUGGGGAGCAAACAGG
rnacentral:rRNA from 1 species